rnacentral:misc_RNA from 1 species
UUUCCGUAGGUGAACCUGCGGAGGGAUCAUUACCGAGUGAGGGGGCCCUGCGCCCCCGACCUCCCAACCCUUUGUUUCAACCAACUCUGUUGCCUCGGGGGGCGACCCGGCCCUCUGGGCGUCGGGGCCCCCGGUGGCUCACACCUCAACUCUUGCAUCUGUGCGUCUGAGUAACAUAUUGAAUCAAUCAAAACUUUCAACAACGGAUCUCUUGGUUCUGGCAUCGAUGAAGAACGCAGC